GUGUGCUAAGCGGGGAGUUAGCGGUGCCCUGUACUCGCAAUCCGCUCUAGCGAGGCUGAAUUCCUGCACGAGAAUAUUGAUUCAGGCAGGUGGUUUGAGAAGUAGUGUUGAGAAUCAAGCCCGACGCAAUUGCAAACUGUGAACCAGGUCAGGUCCGGAAGGAAGCAGCCUUAAGCAGAAAUUGUGAUGUGCCGCCGGUCUCCUUGGUUUGAGCUAACUGGCAGAUUGCCUGUGUGAUAGGUAUCGACUGCAGGUGCACAC
rnacentral:SRP_RNA from 1 species